GAUGAAGAACGUAGCGAAAUGCGAUAAGUAAUGCGAAUUGCAGAAUUCCAGUGAGUCAUCGAAUCUUUGAACGCACAUUGCGCCCGCCAGCAUUCUGGCGGGCAUGCCUGUUCGAGCGUCAUUUCAACCCUCGAGCCCCCCCGGGGGCCUCGGUGUUGGGGGACGGCACACCAGCCGCCCCCGAAAUGCAGUGGCGACCCCGCCGCAGCCUCCCCUGCGUAGUAGCACACACCUCGCACCGGAGCGCGGAGGCGGUCACGCCGUAAAACGCCCAACUUUCUUAGAGUUGACCUCGGAACAGGUAGGAAUACCCGCUGAACUUAAGCAUAUCAAUAAGCGGAGGA
rnacentral:misc_RNA from 1 species